CCAACCAACCAACGCACGCUCUCUUUGCAGCAGCACAACCCGGGUUUUGGGAUGGGGGGUCCCAUGCACAACGACGUCCCCCACCGCCCAACAUGCGCGGCCGGGGCCGGGGCGGCAACAUGCGGGGCCGCGGGAGAGGCCGGGGCGGCUACGGGGGCAACCACGGCGGCUACAUGAACGCAGGCGGCGGCUACGGGAGCUACGGCUACGGGGGGAACUCGGCGACGGCGGGAUACAGUGACUUUUUCACAGACUGCUCCGGCUUUCAUGAUUUUGGGGCUCCAUAGACCGUCCCAAAGCGUUGCAAAAACACGCAGCCCCCCAGCCAACAGCCCAACCCAACCCCACCGAACCCAAAAGGCCUUUCCCCCGUUCCUCCACCUCCAAACCCAAAGCGUUGGUGCCGUUGUCCCGCCCGUCGCCGGCUGUCCCAGCAGCGGCUCUGCCCCGCGGACGGGGCUCUGCUCCACCCGGCGUCGCUCGGCGUUUUGUUUUUGUGGGACGGAUUCCUUUUAGCCCUUAAACCCAAGGCGGCAUCGCGAUGCAGACGCGGCCCCGGAGCCUUUUAACGAACCUCUGUCUUAAUUCCCAGCGGGUUUUGUAUCGAUUCGAGCCUUUUAAUAAAUCCCGGGCGUUGGGUCCGUGCCUCUCCGUC